rnacentral:lncRNA from 1 species
CAUCUGUGUAGAUAUAAGCCAUGAUAUUGUUGGAACCUGAAGUAAAAAAUAUAUGUCUAUCCUGAUACUCUGAAGUAAAAAAGAAACAAAAAGAUGUGGUAUGCUUGACAAUAAGACAACUCUCCAACCAAGUCACAAUUUGUGAAAAGUCCAAAGUACGGCAUUCAACGCGAAGCCUUGGCUCACAUCGAAUAGCAAGCUUUAAAGCCCC